AGAGUUUGAUCCUGGCUCAGAUUGAACGCUGGCGGCAUGCUUUACACAUGCAAGUCGGACGGCAGCACAGAGAAGCUUGCUUCUUGGGUGGCGAGUGGCGAACGGGUGAGUAACAUAUCGGAACGUACCGAGCAGUGGGGGAUAACUAAUCGAAAGAUUAGCUAAUACCGCAUAUAUUCUGAGGAAGAAAGCAGGGGACCAUUUGGCCUUGCGCUGUUUGAGCGGCCGAUAUCUGAUUAGCUAGUUGGUGGGGUAAAGGCCUACCAAGGCGACGAUCAGUAGCGGGUCUGAGAGGAUGAUCCGCCACACUGGGACUGAGACACGGCCCAGACUCCUACGGGAGGCAGCAGUGGGGAAUUUUGGACAAUGGGCGCAAGCCUGAUCCAGCCAUGCCGCGUGUCUGAAGAAGGCCUUCGGGUUGUAAAGGACUUUUGUCAGGGAAGAAAAGGCUGUUGCUAAUAUCGACAGCUGAUGACGGUACCUGAAGAAUAAGCACCGGCUAACUACGUGCCAGCAGCCGCGGUAAUACGUAGGGUGCGAGCGUUAAUCGGAAUUACUGGGCGUAAAGCGAGCGCAGACGCUCACUUAAGCAGGAUGUGAAAUCCCCGGGCUCAACCUGGGGACUGCGUUCUGAACUGGGUGACUAGAGUGUGUCAGAGGGAGGUAGAAUUCCACGUGUAGCAGUGAAAUGCGUAGAGAUGUGGAGGAAUACCGAUGGCGAAGGCAGCCUCCUGGGAUAACACUGACGUUCAUGCUCGAAAGCGUGGGUAGCAAACAGGAUUAGAUACCCUGGUAGUCCACGCCCUAA
rnacentral:rRNA from 1 species